ensembl:rRNA 5S_rRNA 5S ribosomal RNA
UACGGUGGCCAUACACCUUGAAGGCAUGCAAUCCUACCUGAUUCUGGAAGCUAAGCAGGGUCGGGACCUGGUUAGUACUUGAAUGAGAGACCUGCUGGAAAUACAGGGUGCUGCAGGCC